AAGAAAAGACAAUGAUCUAAAAGAAAAAAAGAUGUGGGAAUAAACAUUUAUCUAUCUAUCUUAUUUUUCCUUGGUAGAUAUUACAUUAUAGAGUUAAUGAAGGUGAAAGGCUGAAAACAUCAAGUCAUCAAAGUUGUGAUUAAAUUAUUUAUUCCAUUUUAUUGGAUCCACGUGUAGAGAAAAUAUCUUUAACAUCAAAUGACAAAUGGCAUCCUCUAAGGGCUUCAAAUUUGCUUCAUUGUACAACUGAGGAUACAAAGGAUCAACCCGCUGAGCCUGAAGCAACAGAUCUGCUUAUCCUUUGCUUUGAGAACAAUGUCUAGACAGAGUCCUGCAUUAAAAUUCAGUUAUUCGCUGAGCAUC
rnacentral:lncRNA from 1 species